rnacentral:rRNA from 1 species
ACGCUCGACACCUACGGGAGCAGCAGUCGGGAAUAUUGCGCAAUGGAGGAAACUCUGACGCAGUGACGCCGCGUAUAGGAAGAAGGUUUUCGGAUUGUAAACUAUUGUCGUUAGGGAAGAGAAAGGACAGUACCUAAGGAGGAAGCUCCGGCUAACUACGUGCCGGCAGCGCGGUAAUCUGAGCGGGCGUGGCAAGGC